AACAGAUUAAUAUUCAGCAGAGCGAUAAAUGCAUCCUUCUCCUUAAUUCUGCUGCAGGCAACCCUGCAGGCACCUCUGUCCUUGGUUGCUUUGAUCAGCUCCACCUGUGCCCACACCUGCUGCCCAUGGACGGCUAUACUUCUGACUUUUUACUCUGCCUUUGACUGGAGUUUGUGGGGCUGUGGUUGGAGGUUUUGGCUGCUGUGGAACUGCUACAUUGGCUUAGUGAACCUAUCUGUACCUGUUGGCGAUUUGAACCUCUGCCCACACAGCCCUGUGACCAGAGACUUUCAACAGGCGCUUACAAGAUGGCUGAUAGGCCACAAGAAGCCAUGGGUAGCAUCAAAGAGAUUGAAUGGAGAGUCUUGUUUUAAAUACAUAUAUUUUUGUGAGGAAUGUAACAUCUUUCAUCUGCUAGAAGCUAAAGUUCCAAGCUAA
rnacentral:lncRNA from 1 species